UUACGGCCACAAGAGGUUGAAACACCGUCUUCCGUACGAUCACCGAAGUUAAGCAAAGUCGAAUCUGGUCAGUACUUAGAUGGGUAAUUGCUUGGGAAUACCAGAUACUGUAGG